rnacentral:rRNA from 1 species
GACGAACGCUGGCGGCGUGCUUAACACAUGCAAGUCGAACGGUAAGGCCCUUCGGGGUACACGAGUGGCGAACGGGUGAGUAACACGUGGGUGAUCUGCCCUGCACUUCGGGGUAAGUCUGGGAAACUGGGUCUAAUACCGGAUAGGACCACUGCAUGCAUGGGUGGUGGUGGAAAGCGUUUGCGGUGUGGGAUGGGCGCGCGGCCUAUCAGCUUGUUGGUGGGGUGAUGGCCUACCAAGGCGACGACGGGUAGCCGGCCUGAGAGGGUGACCGGCCACACUUGGACUGAGAUACGGCCCAGACUCCUACGUGAUGCAGUAGUGGGGAAUAUUGCACAAUGGGCGCAAGCCUGAUGCAGCGACGCCGCGUGAGGGAUAACGGCCUUCGGGUUGUAAACCUCUUUCAGCACCGACGAAGCGCAAGUGACGGUAGGUGCAGAAGAAGGACCGGCCAACUACGUGCCAGCAGCCGCAGUAA